CGCACAUUGCGCCCUGUGGUACUCCGCAGGGUAUGCCUGUUCGAGCGUCAUUAUAGCCAAUCAAGCCUGGCUUGGUACUGGGGUGCGCGCCCGCGGCCCUUAAAAAUAGUGGCGGUCUCUGUAGACUCUCAGCGUAGUAAUACUCCUCGCUGUUGAGCUGUAUAGUGGCCCGCCAGAACCCCCACUCCUCUGGUUGACCUCGGAUCAGGUAGGGAUACCCGCUGAACUUAA
rnacentral:misc_RNA from 1 species